rnacentral:rRNA from 1 species
UACGGGGGGGGCAAGCGUUGUUCGGAAUUACUGGGCGUAAAGGGCUCGUAGGCGGCCAACUAAGUCAGACGUGAAAUCCCUCGGCUUAACCGGGGAACUGCGUCUGAUACUGGAUGGCUUGAGUUUGGGAGAGGGAUGCGGAAUUCCAGGUGUAGCGGUGAAAUGCGUAGAUAUCUGGAGGAACACCGGUGGCGAAGGCGGCAUCCUGGACCGGCAUUGACGCUGAACAGCGAAAGCCAGGGGAGCAAACGGG